CGUCCUUUGCGAACCCGCAGCCCCCCGAGGGGCCCGCACGGAGGUGUGGGCCUCGCGGGAGAUGAUGCGGGGCGGACCGCCCGAGGCUGGGAACAGAGCAGGGAAAAGCCCCCACUGUGGUGAGUGCAGGGACCGCG
rnacentral:SRP_RNA from 1 species